CUCUCUCAAACCUUUGGGUUUGGUAUUGAGUGAUACUCUUAGUCGAACUAGGCGUUUGCUUGAAAUUUAUUGGCAUGAGUGAUACUGAGAAGUGCAUUCAGGAAAUAUCAAUGUAUUAGGUUUAUCCAACUCGUUGACAAUUCUUGGUUGUGAAUUUUUAGUGUUAGGCUUUGCCUUAAAAAACAACAAACAA
rnacentral:misc_RNA from 1 species